rnacentral:rRNA from 1 species
UACGUAGGGUGCAAGCGUUAAUCGGAAUUACUGGGCGUAAAGCGUGCGCAGGCGGUUUUGUAAGUUUUGUCGUGAAAUCCCCGGGCUCAACCUGGGAAUGGCGAUGAAGACUGCAAGGCUAGAAUCUGGCAGAGGGGGGUAGAAUUCCACGUGUAGCAGUGAAAUGCGUAGAGAUCGGGGAGGAACAUCUGUGGCGAAGGCGGCCAUCUGGACCAGCACUGACACUGAGGCACGAAAGCGUGGGGAGCAAACAGG